rnacentral:lncRNA from 1 species
GUUGUUCAUUCUUUUGCAUUGUUAUCUUCAUGUUUUUUGUUUCUUUUUUGGUUUUAUUUAUUUAUUUAUUUUGGUUUUCAUAAUUUUUCUUUCUUUUUUUCUAUAGAACAUAAACAUUUUUUGAUACCCGUUAAAAAAAUUAUUCAACACUAGCAAAUGUGUCCGUGCAUUGCAAUAGGAGAAAGAAAGUCUCGCACCUAUAAAACCAAUCUCGUCCAUGCCCAUUCCCUAAGAUCCUCCACAAAUCCAUUUCAGCUUCCCCGUGAAGCCCGGUCGUCCAAAAUCAUCGUGAUGGCCCAUAUGGCGGCAAGUUGUCGAAGGCUCUGUGAGCGUGCAUGUCACGCCCAGAUAAUUAAGCUACAGUGAAACUCUGCUAAUGAUGCCACGUCACCUUCGUUACUGUUGCUAAUCUCUCGUUAGUUCAAAACCGGUUCAAAAGUCAAAUUCAAAAUAUGUCAAACAACAAAAUUUUCAAACUUUAAAACUAAAAUGUUUGGAGUGUGUCAAUUAAUGUUUAGGUAUUUAAGGUGAAGGAAACACACUUUUACAGAAUGCAUAACUAUUUUAAAUUGAAUAAACAGAAAAGGAAAUAAAUAAAAGAGAAAAGAAUAAAAACAGAAAAACAAAGCUAACAAAAAUAAAAAGAAAAGGGAACCCCCCAAACCCCCUGGGCCAAAUGGCCCAGCUAGCCAAUAGCCGGCCCGGCCCCCUGCCGUCUCCCUUCCCUGUUCCCCCGACCCGGGUCGGAACAGGGGCGCGUUCCCGCCCGACCACCUCGCAGGCACCGACGCCGGGAGGGGAUAAGGCCGCCACGCCCCCGACUCCUCGGUUCCUUCUCCAACUCACCCGCGCUCUCCCUCUCGGCCCCUGCACCUCCACUCCCCUCAGAUCCACCUCGCCGCUUUCUCCUUCCCCCACAGCAUCCGAGCGCCGCCAUGGACUCAUCGCCGUAAAACGCGCAGCCACAACCAUUGCCUCGCCUCGCCAAUGUGUCCGUCGUCUCCGCCAUCGUCUUCCUUGUCGACCGGUGGCCGCAGCUGGAGCUCGGAGGCGCUACUGCAUCGGUUCCCCUUCUUCCACAACUCCGGUCGCCGCCGCUCUUCACCAACUCCGGCGACGCCCCUCUGCUGCUACUAAACCAUUCACCGACCUUCGUGUGUGCCGCUUGGUGAGCUCCUCCACCUCCUGCUGCUCUCCUUUAGCUUCUCGCGCGCCGUAGCUAGCUUGCCACCGCGCUCGUAUUCUGUCCGCCGCUGACGAGCUCGUGGCCGUCGCCACAGCCGUCGUCAUGCUCGCCUGAGCCCGUCACCGUGCUCCUGGCGCUUCCAGGAACCCAACGCACCCGCGCACGCUCUUCCCCAUUGCCCCUAUGCCCUAGCUCAUUGAGCGCCCGAACGCGCCACCGCCCGUGCUCGUCGCCGGCGUGCCUCCGGUGACCAAAUGGUCACGGGUGUGUGCCCAGCAGCUUCACCGCACCGCAUAGAACCUGCCCAGGCUCUUCAUUUACUCAGUAGCACGUUGUUUCACCGUCGCCAUCAUCGACCCGUACGCAUCGCUGCCUCUGCCGCUCGCCGGCGUUGUUCCGGCCAUCCCCGUCGAGGCUGCUACCCCCAGAUCGCUUUGCACCGUCGCUCUGGUCCCGUAGAUGCUCGCGGUGGUCCAAACGGACCACCACAACUGCGUUGUUGACUGCUGACGCAGUGAUGACCUCAUGCAGACGUCAUAUUUCCUUUCUGGAAAUUCCUGUUAAUUUAAAUAAUUCCAGAAAAUGAUUUAAAGUUUAGAAAACCAUAGAAAAUAAUCCGUAACUCGGAUGAAAAUGUCUUCUACAUGAAAGUUGCUCAGAAUGACGAGACGAACCCGGAUACGUAGCCCGUUCAUCCGCCACACAUCCCUAGCAUAGCGAACAUGCAACUUUCCCCCUCCGGUUCAUUUGUCCGAAAGCGCGAAACACCGGGAAUACUUUCCCGGAUGUUUGCCCCCUUCGCCAGUAUCACCUCCUACUGCGUUAGGGCACACCUGGCACCGUUACUCGUCAUGUCAUGCAUCAUUAUGCAUAUGUUUGCAUUGCAUUCAUUGUUUCUUCCCCCUCUUCUCUCCGGUAGACUACGAGACUGACGCCGUUGCUGGUGCUCCGAUGAACUACUAUGUUGACGACCCCUCCUUCUUGCCAGAGCAACCAGGCAAGCCCCCUUUGAUCACCAGAUAUCGCCUAUUCUUCUCUCUACAGCUAAGUAGUGUAGCAUGUUACUGCUUUCCGUUUACCCUAUCCUGAUGCAUAGCCUGUCCUUGCUACUACUGUUGUUACCUUUACCUGCAAUCCUAAAUGCUUAGUAUAGGAUGCUAGUAUUCCAUCAUUGGCCCUACAUUCUUAUCCAUCUGCCAUGCUAUACUAUCGGGCCGUGAUCACUCGGGAGGUGAUCACGGGUAUAUACUUAUAUACAUAGUAUAUGAUACAUGUGGUGACUAAAGUCGGGUCGGCUCGUAGAGUACCCGCGAGUGAUUCACCGAUUGGGACCGAAAGGACGUUUGUCCCGACGACCCUCUGAGUGGACCUUUGUGGCGGAGCGAUAGGGCAGGUUGAGACCACCUAGGUGAGAGGUGGGCCUGGCCCUGAUCGGCGUCCGCGGUUACAUCAAUUAACACGCUUAACGAGAUCUUGGUAUUUGAUCUGAGUAAGGCCACUGGCCUAUACGCACUAACCAACUACGCGGGAACAGUUAUGGGCACUCGACGUCAUGGUAUCAGCCGAAGCCUUCGUGAUGUCAGCGACUGAGCGGCGUGCGCCGGAUUGGACCGGAACACCUGCUCUUGUAUUAGGGAGGCUAGGUCUGCUUCCGGCCGCGUUCGCAACAUGCAGGUGUGCAAUGGGCGAUGGGCCCAGACCCCAGUGCGCAUAGGAUUUGACCAGCGUGCUGACCUCUCUAUUGUGCCUAGGUGGGGCUGCGACGUGUUGAUUUUCCGAGGCCGGGCAUGACCCAGGGAAGUGUGUCCGGCCAAAGGGGAUCGAGCGUGUUGGGUUAUGUGGUGCACCCCUGCAGGGAAGUUUAUCUAUUCGAAUAGUCGUGUCCCUCGGUAAAAGGACGACCCGGAGUUGUACCUUGACCUUAUGACAACUAGAACCAGAUACUUAAUAAAACACACCCUUUCAAGUGCCAGAUACAACCCGGUGAUCGCUCUCUAACAGGGCGACGAGGAGAGGAUCGCCGGGUAGGAUUAUGCUAUGCGAUGAUACUUGGUGAACUUACCAUCUACUCUCUUCUACAUGCUGCAAGAUGGAGGCUGCCAGAAGCGUAGUCUUCGAUAGGAUUAGCUAUCCCCCUCUUAUUCUGGCAUUCUGCAGUUCAGUCCACCGAUAUGGCCCUUUUACACAUACCCAUAUAUAUGUAGUGUAGAUCCUUGCUUGCGAGUACUUUGGAGAGUACUCACGGUUUCUUUGCUCCCCCUUUCCCCCCAUUUCCUUUCUUCCUGGUUGUCGCAACCAGAUGCUGGAGCCCAGACGCCACCGUCGAUGAUGACUCCUACUACACCGGAGGUGCCUACUACUACGUGCAGGCCGCUGACGACGACCAGUAGUAGUUUAGGAGGAUCCCAUGCAGGAGGCCUGCGCCUCUUUCGAUCUGUAUCCCAGUUUGUGCUAGCCAUCUUAUGGCAACUUGUUUAACUUAUGUUUGUACUCAGAUAUUGUUGCUUCCGCUGACUCGUCUAUGAUCGAGCACUUGUAUUCGAGCCCUUGAGGCCCCUGGCUUGUAUUAUGAUGCUUGUAUGACUUAUUUUAUUUUAGAGUUGUGUUGUGAUAUCUUCCCGUGAGUCCCUGAUCUUGAUCGUACACAUUUGCGUGUAUGAUUAGUGUAUGAUUGAAUCGGGGGCGUCAUAAGUUGGUAUCAGAGCCGACUGCCUGUAGGGAUCCCCCUUCCACACUCCUUGGCCGAAGUCGAGUCUAGACAUUACAAAACUUUUUCUGACAUGGUUGUGUGUCUUACGGGCCCACGUCGCCAUUUGGGUGGUAUUAGGAUCGUUUACUCCUCGACCUUUACUCUGGGACUCUGAACUCUCUUCUACUCGGGUUAAACGAAUUUACUAACUCUAACAUUAGGAUCCCGUGACCACAUUCAGCCAAAGUUAGAUAAGCCAUAGUUAUUCCUUAGAAUAGUAUUUUGAACAAUACCCACACUGUCAUUUGACUCCUUUGAAACAUCUUUGCUUUCAGAUGGAACCCACGAGGCAGGUCGUGUGCCACACGACGGCCAUUGGUGCCUCGGGAUCACCUGCUGUGCUAGCUGAGAUGAUGACCUAUCUGGGUUAUCGCUGGCACCCUGAGUACACCGUCUACGAGGAGUACCAGGAUUUUAACCAGGAGCAGUACUAUGCCAUCGUCCACCUCUAUUCUCGGGAGUAUGACUCCACUACUGCGCUGCACACUGCUCAUGGUGUUGGAGUGACCAUCGAUAUGGCAGUCCACCAUGCUGUUUAUGCUGCUCUGACACGUCUUCGUGGAGAGUAUCGGGUGUUGGAUACUUCCCCUUUCAGGCACAUUGCUAUCGCAUCCGAUGUUGGUGCGGAGGGAUACUACACUGCUGCGUACUCCACUGUCACCCGCGAGCCCUUCUACCAUCAGAACCUGGUUCUGCAUGCUGAUGGGCUGGAUCAAGCUAACCGAGCACUUCGCCACGAGUUGUACACCACCCGUCGGCACCUUUACCGUGCUUUGAGGCUGUUGCACCCCUUGGUCCGAUCUGGUGAGUUGUCGCGAUCUGCGAUCUACCCAGCCAGGACCGUGAUGCCCCAGGGUGUCGGCUGGCCAGAUGUGGGAGGCUGCUCUCCCCCACUUGGUCCUCUUUUGCCACCUGAGCGUCGGGUUCUGCACCAGAGUAUCCGCGGACCCCAGGUUACUGACGUGGAGUUCCCGAUGCGACACUACAAGCUUUCAGGCUACACCUACCUCCGCAGUUCCUCCUGGGACUGAUGUAGUAUUGCUUGUUAGUAUUAGAUGCAUUCGCCGCGAGCCUGCAUGCCGCCUAUGAUGUCCUUAGUCUAUGUAAUGAACUCUGUGUACUAAACUCUAUGCAUGAUCCCUUUUGUAAGGUGUGCCGACUACUAUGUAGUAUCUAUCGUGCUCCUUUCUUUAUGCAUGUUUCGUCAUGAAUGAUUCUUGUCUUUGCAAAUUUCUCAAUGCUGAACUACCCCUGUUAAAUUUAAGCAGGAUGGUUAGACCAGGUGGUCGUGGUCGUGGUGGCUAUGCCCCACCACCGCUUGAGUACAUGGCUGGUAUGAUCCAACAACUCAAGCUGAAUCUACAGUUCAUGGAAAAAAUGAUGGCUCAGUUCCCUCGCCCCAAUAUGAACCAACAGCCAGCCCAAGUGACUCUGCAGGAUUUCAUGCGCCUCAACCCAACUGUGUACCGCAACUCAACUCAGCCUCUGGAUGCUGAUGACUGGCUCCGUGACAUCACCUAUGAGAUGGAGUCCGCUGAUGUAGCCCCUGCCCACUAUGUCACCUUUGCUUCCUUCUUUCUGAAGGGACCCGCUGCUCAAUGGUGGGACAGCCACAGGCGUACUCUGCCAGCUGGAACAAUCAUCACCUGGCCAGAUUUCCAAGCCGCCUUCCGUGCUCGCUUCAUUCCUCAGGGGGUCAUGGACCGGAAGAAGCGUGAGUUCCGCAACCUCACCCAAGGCAACAAAACUGUUGAAGCUUAUCAGCGGGAGUUUCUGGACUUGUCCCGCUAUGCUGAAGAGGACAUUGCAACUGAUGCUCGCAAACAGGAGAAGUUCCGUGAUGGACUACAAGCUGACAUCAAGCUUGCACUACUAGUGCAUGACUUUGCCGACUUCGCCACCUUGGUGAACAAAUCCAUCAAUGUCGAAACUGGUCUGCAGGAACACCAGAGCUCUCAUAGGCACAACCGUGACAUGGGCUCAUCUUCGGGCCGGCCCUUGCAGAAGCAUAAGAUAUGGAUUCCCAACAGCAUGUACCAGCCAACUACACCUACCCCAAGGCAGACCUAUGCUGCACCUCGUCUGCCUCCUCCACCAUCUAGGCAGCCAAGGCUUCCAGCACCACCACCCCGAGCUCCUGCUCCGACUCCCAAUAAUGGUCUGUGCUUCGGGUGUGGUCAACCAGGACACCGUGCUAGGGAAUGCAACCAGAACCAGAAUCAACUGGCCCUUCCAGCAACUGGCCAUGGCAACAACCAGCCCCGCAACAACAAUGCCAAGUCUUAUGGUCAUGUUCAUGCCAACCACGUUGAUCUGAACGAAGCUCAAGACCAGCCUGCUACUGUGAUGAGUACACUUCUCAUAAAUUCAAUACCAGCAUCCGUUUUAUUUGAUAUAGUAGCAUCACAUUCGUUCAUAUCAGCUGAGUUUGCAUUCAUGCAUGGCAUUAAAUAUGAAGAGAUGAACACUGUGCUAGUGGUACACACUCCUGUGGGCCAAUGUCAAACCUCUAUGGUUAUUCACGACGUUCCCGUUGAAAUCGAAGGACUGGAAUUCCUUGUCUCUCCCAUCGUACCGAAGUCCUGUAGCAUUGAUCUCAUUCUGGGAAUGGAUUGGUUGAAAGCGCAUACUGCUUCUAUAGUUUGCGCCACUAAGACCGUCCAUCUGCUACACCCUUCUGAUGAAAUAAUAAGCUACAAUGCUCGUCUGGUUCAGAAUACCGAGGCAAGGCUUUAUGCAUUGAAUGCAUUGAACGCUGCACCACUCGAGGGCAUUGAGAACAUUCCCGUCGUGCGCGAAUUCCUCAACGUCUUUCUUGAAGAACUCCCAGGGUUUCCCCCUGCUAGAGCUGUCGAAUUCAUCAUCGACUUGAAACCAGGCACCACUCCUAUAGCCAAGCGACCCUACAAGAUGCCGCCGCAUGAACUCAUUGAGCUUAAGGAGGAAAUCGACAAAUCCCUUCGCAGUGGUUUCAUUCUCCCAAGUUGCUCUCCUUGGGGAGCACCUUCUCUCUUUGUCAAGAAGAAGAAUGGGACAAACCGAUUAGUCCAAGACUACCGUCCUAUAAACCAAGCUACCAUUCAGAAUAAAUAUCCUCUUCCUCGGAUCAAUGAUCUGUAUGAUCAACUGGCUGGUUCAUCAGUGUUCUCUAAACUCGACUUGAGGUUGGGUUACCACUAGAUCCGUGUUCGUGAAGAGGAUGUCCCAAAGACCGCCUUCGUGACUCGAUAUGGUUCAUACGAGUACACCAUCAUGUCAUUCGGCUUAACCAAUGCUCCAGCCACCUUCUCUCGUCUGAUGAACUAUAUAUUCAUGGAAUACCUCGAUAAGUUCGUCGUGGUUUAUCUGGAUGAUAUCCUGGUAUUUUCCAAGAACAAAGAGGAACAUGCUCAACAUCUUCGUCUUGUGCUGGAAAAGCUACGAGAGCAUCAACUAUAUGCCAAGUUCUCCAAAUGUGAAUUCUGGCUACCUGAAGUAACCUAUCUUGGGCAUGUCAUCUCUAAGGAUGGUAUUUUCGUCAACCCUGAACGAGUCCAGGCUAUUCUCGAAUGGACUCCUCCGAAGAAUGUCAAGCAAGUCAGAAGUUUUCUCGGUCUCGCCAGCUAUUGUCGUCGAUUCGUCGAGAACUUCUCCAAGAUCGCCAGGCCUCUAACUAACCUGUUGCAUAAGGGCGUCAAGUUCCAAUGGACAGACAAAUGUCAGGAAAGUUUCCAGGCACUCAAAGACAAGUUGACUUCUGCCCCAGUGCUUGCUCCACCUGAUACUAAGAAGGACUUCGUCAUUUACUGCGACACUUCCCGUCAAGGAUUAGGCUACGUCCUAAUGCAAGAGCGCAAAGUGAUUGCUUAUGCCUCUCGUCAAUUGCGCCCUCACGAAGAGAACUACCCAGUUCACGACCUCGAGCUUGCUGCUGUCAUUCAUGCACUGAAGCAGUGGCGACAUUACCUUCUUGGUAAUCGUUGCGAGAUCUUCCCCGACCACCAAAGUCUGAAGUAUCUGUUUACUCAGCCAGACCUGAACCUCCGUCAGCAGAGACGGAUGGAGACUGUUGCAGACUUUGACUUGGGUAUUUCCUAUACACCAGGCAAGGCUAAUGUAAUGGCUGAUGCCUUGAGCCGCAAGUCUUACUACAACCAUCUCGAGGUUUGCAAAGUUCAGCCCUCGCUUGUUGAAGAAUUCAGAAAGCUGAACCUCCAUAUUGUUCCUCCGGGUGCACUCGCUCCCCCUCCUAAGGAGUUUCGCAAGAUGAACCUCCGUGUUGUUUCCCAGGGUUCCCUCAAUACCCUGGCUAUCGAACCAGAUCUCUUGGACUCCAUCAAGAGACUUCAGGGAUAUGACUCUCAAGUUGAGAAGAUUAAAUGCUACCUCGCAGAAGGAAAGCCCUCAUUCUUCACUGUUGCUGAUGAUGGCACUUUGUACUUCAAAGGCCGCCUAGUGGUGCCAUGUAAGGAGAAAAACCUGGAUAUGACUAAGGAAGUUAUGGAAGAAGCUCAUGACACUCCAUUGUCUAUUCAUCCCGGUAGCACCAAGAUGUACCAAGACAUUCGUCAAAGAUUCUGGUGGUCAAAUAUGAAGCAAGACAUUGCUCGCUAUGUUGUUGAAUGUGACGUUUGCCGUCGUAUCAAAGCAGAACAUCAAAGGCCCGCUGGAACUCUGCAACCUAUCUCUAUUCCCGUAUGAAAAUGGGACCAUGUUGAAAUGGACUUCGUCACUAGAUUUCCCAAAUUGCAAAAAGGUAAUGAUGCUAUUCUUGUUGUCAUUGACCGACUUUCUAAAGUUGCACACUUUCUGGCCGUCAAAGAAACGAUCACUGCUAGUCAGCUUGCAACUCUCUACAUGUCCAGAAUUGUUUCACGUCACGGUAUUCCACUGGUUAUCAGUUCGGACCGUGGGAGCUUGUUCAUUUCAAGAUUCUGGGCAAGUUUCCAAGAAGCUAUGGGAACUCAUCUGUCAUUCAGUACCGCAUUUCAUCCUCAGUCGCAAGGGCAAGUUGAACGUGUCAACCAAGUUCUCGAAGAAAUGCUUCGAGCUUGUGUUAUUUCCUUCGGCAAGAAAUGGGAGGAAUCUCUCCCGUAUGCUGAGUUCUCUUAUAAUAAUAGCUAUCAAGCUAGUCUGAAGAUGGCCCCCUUCGAAGUGUUAUAUGGACGAAAGUGCCGAACCCCUCUAAACUGGUCAGAAACUGGGGAACGUCCACUCUUCGGUCCGGAUAUUAUCCAACAUGCCGAAGAACAAGUCCGCAUCAUUCGUGAGAAUCUCAAGACUGCUCAGUCGUGUUAGAAGAGUCGGUAUGACCGUCAUCACAAAGACAUGGUCUAUCAACCUGGCGAAAAGGCUUAUCUUCGAGUUACACCAAUGAAGGGGCUCACCGCUUCGGGAUCAAGGGUAAGCUAGCUCCUCGCUAUAUUGGCCCAUUCACUAUUCUCGAAAGGCGUGGAAAAGUGGCAUAUCAAAUGGAGCUUCCGCCGAACCUUUCUCAGGUUCACGAUGUGUUUCAUGUGUCACAGCUCCGCCGUUGCUUCAAGGACCCAAUCUGAGCAGUGGAUCAUGAAGUGCUCGAAUUGCAACAGGACCUCUCCUAUAAAGAGCAUCCGGUCCACAUUCUCGACCAAGCUGAAUGCCGCACAUGUCAGAAGGCGAUCAAGUUCCUCAAGGUCCAGUGGUCACACCAUUCUGAAGAUGAAGCCACUUGGGAAUGCGAGGAUCGCCUGCAUGAUGAAUACCCCGCGCUGUUUCCUUCUACCACCUAAAUCUCGGGACGAGAUUUCUUGUAGUGGAGGAGAAUUGUAACGCCCGGAUAAUUAAGCUAUAGUGAAACUCUGGUAAUGAUGCCACGUCACCUCCGUUACUGUUGCUAAUCUCUCGUUAGUUCAAAACCGGUUCAAAAGUCAAAUUCAAAAUAUGUCAAACAACAAAAUUUUCAAACUUUAAAACUAAAAUGUUCGGAGUGUGUCAAUUAAUGUUUAGGUAUUUAAGGUGAAGGAAACACACUUUUACAGAAUGCAUAAAUAUUUUAAAUUAAAUUAAAUAGAAAAGGAAAUAAAUAAAAGAGAAAAGAAUAAAAA